rnacentral:lncRNA from 1 species
GAGACCGCCCCCCAUACCCCUCUCUCCAGCAUCUCUGAGGGUCCCCAAGGAACAUGGCUGGGAGCCGUGAGGUGGUGGCCAUGGACUGCGAGAUGGUGGGGCUGGGGCCCCACCGGGAGAGUGGCCUGGCUCGUUGCAGCCUCGUGAACAUCCACGGUGCUGUGCUGUACGACAAGUUCAUCCGGCCUGAGGGAGAGAUCACCGAUUACAGAACCCGGGUCAGCGGGGUCACCCCUCAGCACAUGGUGGGGGCCACACCAUUUGCCGUGGCCAGGCUAGAGAUCCUGCAGCUC